ensembl:rRNA 5S_rRNA 5S ribosomal RNA
UCUACGGCCAUACCACCCUGAACACACCCAAUCUCAUCUGAUUUCAGAAGCUAAGCAGGGUCGGGCCUGGUUCGUACUUGGAUGAGAGAAACGCUGGGCUGGAAGAA